rnacentral:rRNA from 1 species
GUCUACGGCCAUACCACCCUGAACACACCCAAUCUCAUCUGGUCUCAGAAGCUAAGCAGGGUCAGGCCUGGUUAGUAAAUUGGAUGGAAGACAGAUCUUCAGAAGAGACUGCUCAGAGACAAGCAGUUUGGAGACA